CAAGGCAUUUCAGCUCUUCAUUUUUUAUUAAUUUGUAAAAAUAAAAAAAAUAAAAGAUCCACUUUGACAUUAUGCAGUAUUGUGUGCAGAUCAGUGACACAUCUAAAUUGAAUACAUUUUAAAUGCAGGCUGUAACACAACAAAAUGGGGAAAAAGUAAAUGGGGUGUGAAUACUUUCUGAAGGCACGGUAUGUUUUUAAGUGUAAAUGUAUAUCAAAUCUCCAUUAACUUACACUGGCAAUCUUUUAAGUAGUUUAAAGAUGCACUAUAAAGAAAUCUCUCUGUUUGCUAAAAUUCCAAAUGUUGGUUUGUAACAAAACAAGCAAAAAUAGUGUAGAGGGAUCAUUGUACCAUCUAAACUGCUGUGAAAUAUAUUUUUCAUAACCAAAAAUAUAGUAUUUUCAGCUGUUUGAAGUUAUUGUACAAAACAGAAAGUAAGAGUUAAAAACAAAACUUAUGAACAGAAGCAUAGAAAUAACACACAUAGAACAGAUCUACUACAUCUUAGACUUGCUUUCAAUGAGAAUGAAUGAUCUAUAACUCCUCACAAUUCUAUUUGAAUUUGGCCAGGUUGCCCAAAAAGUUAUAUAUUGCAGCUUUAAAUUGAAGCAACCCACUACAAUUCACACUGAAAUGUUGAAAUGUAUGCAUUGAAAACAGUUGAAAACAGCAUAGAAAUACAAGGUCACAAAAGAGAAGCCGGGUACAAUUUUAACAUAUCAAAUGUAUACCGUACUAAUUACUGGAGAAUACAAACAAAUACACACUUAUUCUGGGAAAUAUAUUUUUAAAAAAGAGGCAAGCACAGUAAGAGCACAUAAUUUGGCCAUGCUGAACGGACAGGUUCAUAAGUCACUUUAAUUAAACUUCCAUUCCCCAACCAUCAUUAACUAUAGCUAUGAAUCUUCAAAAAGCUUGAACCUUCCUCAAAACCUAAAGAGCCUGGUCCCAGUCUCAGCUCCAUUUACAACUAACCUCACCAAAACCAAUCUAUUCAUUUGUGAGAUAUUCGCUAUUCACCAAUAAGCAAAUAAACAGACAAAAAACAUAAUACAAACGUUACUGUUUGGUUGACACCUAGUGGCAACUGAAGGUAACGAAUGACCAAUCUGUCAAUCAUUUUGUGGCUGGGGGAAGGGGGAUAGUAACUUACUUAUUAGGACACGUAUACCCAAAAUCCCUACACCAGCCUCAAAUGUAGGUAAAGUAGCAAAGUGUGGGCAAAAUUCACUAGAAGGAUAAAACUUAAUGACAGUUAAGAGUAAGAGAACACCCACAUAUCAUAGCAAGUAACUUUGAAUGACAAAGUUGUGUCAGAAUUACCUAUGGAUAACAAUAGGUUAAACCUGGAUGCCUACUCUAGUCAACCGCAAAUACAACAUGUUUCUCGUAAGUUACAGACCUAUAAGACAUUAAAAAAAAAAAAUUAUAGUAUCAACAUCAAGAAAAAAAGUAUUAAAAUGCGUACUCACUGCUGUAAGUCGCUCUGGAUAAGAGUGUCUGCUAAAUGACUCAAAUGUAAAACGGACUGUGACAUUAUGUGACACCAGUUUGCAAUGAUUAGAUGAUAUCAUUUUUUUAAACAUAAAAAGCAAGAAAAAUAAAGAAAACGUGAUGGAAAUAUAAGAGUUAACUACAAUAUACUUGUAUUUUAAACACCAUAUUUGGUUGUGUACAUGGUAUAAAUGCCAUUGAAGUUUAGUAUUUUCUUGUGCUGCCCUAGAGCAUAGAAAAGCAUACCAUCUCAGUGAAUGUUAAAUAAGUAUUUUCCUGCCAUACUGUCUACCUAAUACCAUCUUCAAAGUAAUCUUGUCAUGUUUACCUCUAAAACCAACCCAAGAGCCAUUCCUCCCAUUUUAAUCCAUACUCUCUAUCCCCAUGACAGGAAUCAUCUGGGUUGUGUUGAUUAGGGUACGCAAAAAACAAAAAUAAACAUUUUUUAAAAACAUUUUGCACUGGAAACUGAAAAUGAGUGUUGCUUAUUGUCCCUUUUAUUCCAUUUAACGGCAAAUAAACACGACCCUAGAGGCACAGAGGGGGGGGGGUAGGGUGGUGUCGGGGUGAUACAGGAGGGGACAGGUGGAUGUUAUAAGAGAUUUAGGGGUCUCGUCGGAUGAACCAGAUCUCGUUCCUGCGACAGGACUCCCCAGGGUUGUUGUAGACAGCCACCAUGUAGGAGUAGCGAUGCAUCUCCUCGCUGGGGCCCAGCAUCUCCCACAGCAGGUUAAUCUGAGGCAUGAUUGUCUCCUCCGUGGUGGUGCCGAAGAAAGUCC
ensembl:lncRNA